rnacentral:rRNA from 1 species
UACGAAGGGGGCUAGCGUUGCUCGGAAUUACUGGGCGUAAAGCGCACGUAGGCGGCGUUCUAAGUCGGGGGUGAAAUCCUGGAGCUCAACUCCAGAACUGCCUUCGAUACUGGAAAGCUCGAGUCCGGGAGAGGUGAGUGGAACUGCGAGUGUAGAGGUGAAAUUCGUAGAUAUUCGCAAGAACACCAGUGGCGAAGGCGGCUAACUGGCCCGGUACUGACGCUGAGGUGCGAAAGCGUGGGGAGCAAACAGG